GUUGUGGCUCAGUGGCAGAGCGCUUGCCUAGUAUGUGUGAGGCACUGGGUUCAAUCCUCAGCAUACA
rnacentral:tRNA from 1 species